GAUGAACGCUAGCGGCAGGCCUAACACAUGCAAGUCGAACGGCAGCGGGGAGGAGCUUGCUCCUUCGCCGGCGAGUGGCGCACGGGUGCGUAACGCGUAUACAAUCUGCCUUGUACAGGGGUAUAGCCCAGGGAAACUUGGAUUAACACCCCAUGGUAAUGGGACCCGGCAUCGGGACUUGUUUAAAACUACGGUGGUACAAGAUGGGUAUGCGUCCCAUUAGCUAGUUGGUGUGGUAACGGCACACCAAGGCAACGAUGGGUAGGGGCCCUGAGAGGGGGAUCCCCCACACUGGUACUGAGACACGGACCAGACUCCUACGGGAGGCAGCAGUGAGGAAUAUUGGACAAUGGGCGGGAGCCUGAUCCAGCCAUGCCGCGUGCAGGAAGACUGCCCUAUGGGUUGUAAACUGCUUUUAUACGGGAAGAAACCCGGCUACGUGUAGCCGGCUGACGGUACCGUAAGAAUAAGGACCGGCUAACUCCGUGCCAGCCGCCGCCGUAACAC
rnacentral:rRNA from 1 species